UAGGGAAUAUUCCGCAAUGGAAGAACGUCUGACGGAACAACGCCGCGUGAGUGAAGAAGGUUUUCGGAUCGAACACCUCUAUUGUCAGAGAAGAACAAAUCGGAAAGUAACUGUUCCGGCCUUGACGGUAUCUGACCAGAAAGCCACGGCUAACUACGUGCCAGCAGCCGCGGUAAUACGUAGGUGGCAAGCGUUGUCCGGAUUUAUUGGGCGUAAAGCGAGCGCAGGCGGUUCCUUAAGUCUGAUGUGAAAGCCCACGGCUUAACCGUGGGUGGUGAUUGGGUGCUGGGGAACUUGAGUGGUGAAGAGGAGAGUGGAGUGCCAGUUGGUGUUGGUGUAUGCGUAGAUAUAUGGAGGAACAUCGUUGGCUAAUGCGACUCUCUGGGUUGUAACUGACGCUGAGGCUCGAAAGCGUGGGGAGCAAACAG
rnacentral:rRNA from 1 species